rnacentral:lncRNA from 1 species
AGGAGAGGACGCGGCCGCUGGGUGCUGCUGCGAGUCCCGGCAGCCGUGGGCAGGGCACCUGAAACCUCCCUGCAUCUGCUGGAGGACGUUUGUGGUGGAAACAGUGACCGCCUCAGCGGCCUCAGUCCCGAGUCGCAAGCUGAAGCCAUUUGAGAAGAAAUGUGAUGGACUCGAAGGGCUUGUGAUGUGGCUAAACAUCUAUUCUGAAACACUUCCCAUCAGUUUGACAUCGAGGGAAACUUCAGCAGCAGGGCUGGGAGGACCAGAACUGUCAGGAUGCACUUAUACAUUGGGAAGGAGAAUGCGAUAGCUUCACUAAGCUUUGAAAAAGACUGUGUAUCUUGCAAUAAAUGCAACUUGGAAAACA